UACGGAGGGUGCAAGCGUUAUCCGGAUUUACUGGGUUUAAAGGGUGCGUAGGUGGGUAGGUAAGUCAGUGGUGAAAUCUUCGAGCUUAACUCGGAAAACUGCCAUUGAUACUAUUUAUCUUGAAUACUCUGGAGGUAAGCGGAAUAUGUCAUGUAGCGGUGAAAUGCUUAGAUAUGACAUAGAACACCAAUUGCGAAGGCAGCUUACUACAUAGUUAUUGACACUGAGGCACGAAAGCGUGGGGAUCAAACAGGAUUA
rnacentral:rRNA from 1 species